rnacentral:misc_RNA from 1 species
AAGUCGUAACAAGGUUUCCGUAGGUGAACCUGCGGAAGGAUCAUUAUCAACGUUCCUAACGUAAAACCAUUGUGAACCGUUAUCACCUCGGAGGUUGUCGUGGCGUGCCUCUCAUUAAUAACAAACGAAAUGAAAAAGAGAACGUAAGUGAAUGUGAGUUCUCGUUAUUGAUGGAACUACGGAAUCGUUAUGCCACACUUCGGAGUGUCAUGCGGUUUGUAUUAACGUAGCAUGAGGACAGGGAUUCGGUCCCGACACGAGAAUCACUGGGUCAUUUCACUAUUAUACAAACCCUAUUAACCUUUGAAACCCAAACUAUAAACUUGUCUGAAAUUGAUUUCUUACUCUAUCUUUCGGGAGGAGAAGAAAUAAAAUUACGAAAAAUAAGAACAACUCUUAGCAACGGAUAUCUUGGUUCUC